rnacentral:rRNA from 1 species
GACGAACGCUGGCGGCGCGCCUAACACAUGCAAGUCGAACGAGAGAUGAGGAGCUUGCUCUUCAAAUCGAGUGGCGAACGGGUGAGUAACGCGUGAGGAACCUGCCUCAAAGAGGGGGACAACAGUUGGAAACGACUGCUAAUACCGCAUAAGCCCACGGCUCGGCAUCGAGCAGAGGGAAAAGGAGCAAUCCGCUUUGAGAUGGCCUCGCGUCCGAUUAGCUAGUUGGUGAGGUAACGGCCCACCAAGGCGACGAUCGGUAGCCGGACUGAGAGGUUGAACGGCCACAUUGGGACUGAGACACGGCCCAGACUCCUACGGGAGGCAGCAGUGGGGAAUAUUGCACAAUGGGGGAAACCCUGAUGCAGCGACGCCGCGUGGAGGAAGAAGGUCUUCGGAUUGUAAACUCCUGUUGUUGAGGAAGAUAAUGACGGUACUCAACAAGGAAGUGACGGCUAACUACGUGCCAGCAGCCGCGGUAAAACGUAGGUCACAAGCGUUGUCCGGAAUUACUGGGUGUAAAGGGAGCGCAGGCGGGAGAACAAGUUGGAAGUGAAAUCCAUGGGCUCAACCCAUGAACUGCUUUCAAAACUGUUUUUCUUGAGUAGUGCAGAGGUAGGCGGAAUUCCCGGUGUAGCGGUGGAAUGCGUAGAUAUCGGGAGGAACACCAGUGGCGAAGGCGGCCUACUGGGCACCAACUGACGCUGAGGCUCGAAAGUGUGGGUAGCAAAUCAAGAGUUAGAUACCCCGGUAGUCCACACCGUAAACGAUGAUUACUAGGUGUUGGAGGAUUGACCCCUUCAGUGCCGCAGUUAACACAAUAAGUAAUCCACCUGGGGAGUACGACCACAAGGUUGAAACUCAAAGGAAUUGACGGGGGCCCGCACAAGCAGUGGAGUAUGUGGUUUAAUUCGACGCAACGCGAAGAACCUUACCAAGUCUUGACAUCCUGCGACGCACAUAGAAAUAUGUGUUUCCUUCGGGACGCAGAGACAGGUGGUGCAUGGUUGUCGUCAGCUCGUGUCGUGAGAUGUUGGGUUAAGUCCCGCAACGAGCGCAACCCUUAUGGUCAGUUACUACGCAAGAGGACUCUGGCCAGACUGCCGUUGACAAAACGGAGGAAGGUGGGGAGGACGUCAAAUCAUCAUGCCCUUUAUGACUUGGGCUACACACGUACUACAAUGGCGUUAAACAAAGAGAAGCAAGACCGCGAGGUGGAGCAAAACUCAGAAACAACGUCCCAGUUCGGACUGCAGGCUGCAACUCGCCUGCACGAAGUCGGAAUUGCUAGUAAUCGUGGAUCAGCAUGCCACGGUGAAUAAAAUCCCGGGCCUUGUACA